CAUGAGAGUCUUGUUAAUGGUAUUUCAAGGUUAAGCACAUUGGAUGGAAUUAGUAGAAGCACCAUUUCUCAUUAUGGUUUCACAAAUGGUGUUGCAGUUGUCAGUGGGGAACACCCAUAUGGAGAGCACCCGUCAAGGACGUUAUUUGUUCGCAAUAUCAACAGUAAUGUCGAGGACUCCGAGCUGAAGUCUCUCUUUGAGGUGAAGGCUGCCUAAGAGAGGAGAUGUGGAGCCUGGGGAGAUUCCUACGUUGCUUGAUUUGGGGCUUAAUCCGAAUGCUGCAACGGGGUAGGUACGAUGUGAAUUCCUGUUGAUUGAAGAAAAAGUCGAAGCUGCAACAAGAUGAAAUCAGAAUCACCAAUAAUGUUGAGGCUCUCAAUGGUAGCCACGAGGAAUCAAAUGAUCACAUUGUGAUUUUAUAUUUUUUUUGUUAUUUUUGUUCUAUUUUGACUCUAGAUAGAAGUAUUGUACUUGGCAUUUUGAUUAUCUUCAGCUGACAAUUUUAGUACAAUGUUUAGAUAAUUAAUUAUUUAUAUAAUAUAUAUUUUGGAUUUUACUA